rnacentral:lncRNA from 1 species
CCCUCUGCGACUCUCCGUCGUUCUGGUUCGUGCGUGCGUGCGUGCGUCCGGCCUUCGGCUGCCGGCCCCAACUGCCCAGGAGCCCCACGCUCGGGUUGGGAUGGCGGCGCCCGUCACGCGGCAGGUCCGCGGAGGCGCUGUCCCCGGCUCGGUCCCGGCCGCCCCCGAAGGGCUGCUCUGGCGGCGGGCGUGGCCGAGCUUCCAGUGCUGGACGCGCGCGGGCGGCGGGUGCCGUUCGGGGCGCUGUUCCGGGAGCGCCGCGCCAUGGUGGUGCUCGUGCGGCAUUUCCUCUGCUACGCCUGCAAGGAGUACGUGGAAGACCUGGCCAAGGUUCCCAGGAGCGCCCUGGAGGAAGCGAACAUCCCCCCUUAUAGUGAUUGGACAAUCAUCCUACCAUCAUAUUGAGGUAAAUAUUUAGAAAUGGGGGCUCUGACAGGGUCAAAUCUGUUUAAUAUAGAAAAGUUCAUU